rnacentral:tRNA from 1 species
GGAUGGGUGGCAGAGCGGUCGAUUGCAGCGGUCUUGAAAACCGCCGUGGGUUUACGCCCACCGUGGGUUCGAAUCCCACUCCAUCCGCCA